rnacentral:rRNA from 1 species
AACGAACGCUGGCGGCAUGCCUAACACAUGCAAGUCGAACGAGAUCUUCGGGUCUAGUGGCGCACGGGUGCGUAACGCGUGGGAAUCUGCCCUUUGGUUCGGAAUAACAGUUGGAAACGACUGCUAAUACCGGAUGAUGACGAAAGUCCAAGGAUUUAUCGCCAGAGGAUGAGCUCGCGUAGGAUUAGCUAGUUGGUGUGGUAAAGGCGCACCAAGGCGACGAUCCUUAGCUGGUCUGAGAGGAUGAUCAGCCACACUGGGACUGAGACACGGCCCAGACUCCUACGGGAGGCAGCAGUGGGGAAUAUUGGACAAUGGGCGAAAGCCUGAUCCAGCAAUGCCGCGUGAGUGAUGAAGGCCUUAGGGUUGUAAAGCUCUUUUACCCGGGAUGAUAAUGACAGUACCGGGAGAAUAAGCUCCGGCUAACUCCGUGCCAGCCGCCGCGGUAA